AGAGUUUGAUCAUGGCUCAGAUUGAACGCUGGCGGCAGGCCUAACACAUGCAAGUCGAGCGGAUGAAGGGAGCUUGCUCCUGGAUUCAGCGGCGGACGGGUGAGUAAUGCCUAGGAAUCUGCCUGGUAGUGGGGGAUAACGUCCGGAAACGGGCGCUAAUACCGCAUACGUCCUGAGGGAGAAAGUGGGGGAUCUUCGGACCUCACGCUAUCAGAUGAGCCUAGGUCGGAUUAGCUAGUUGGUGGGGUAAAGGCCUACCAAGGCGACGAUCCGUAACUGGUCUGAGAGGAUGAUCAGUCACACUGGAACUGAGACACGGUCCAGACUCCUACGGGAGGCAGCAGUGGGGAAUAUUGGACAAUGGGCGAAAGCCUGAUCCAGCCAUGCCGCGUGUGUGAAGAAGGCCUUCGGAUUGUAAAGCACUUUAAGUUGGGAGGAAGGGCAGUAAGUUAAUACCUUGCUGUUUUGACGUUACCAACAGAAUAAGCACCGGCUAACUUCGUGCCAGCAGCCGCGGUAAUACGAAGGGUGCAAGCGUUAAUCGGAAUUACUGGGCGUAAAGCGCGCGUAGGUGGUUCAGCAAGUUGGAUGUGAAAUCCCCGGGCUCAACCUGGGAACUGCAUCCAAAACUACUGAGCUAGAGUACGGUAGAGGGUGGUGGAACUUCCUGUGUAGCGGUGAAAUGCGUAGAUAUAGGAAGGAACACCAGUGGCGAAGGCGACCACCUGGACUGAUACUGACACUGAGGUGCGAAAGCGUGGGGAGCAAACAGGAUUAGAUACCCUGGUAGUCCACGCCGUAAACGAUGUCGACUAGCCGUUGGGAUCCUUGAGAUCUUAGUGGCGCAGCUAACGCGAUAAGUCGACCGCCUGGGGAGUACGGCCGCAAGGUUAAAACUCAAAUGAAUUGACGGGGGCCCGCACAAGCGGUGGAGCAUGUGGUUUAAUUCGAAGCAACGCGAAGAACCUUACCUGGCCUUGACAUGCUGAGAACUUUCCAGAGAUGGAUUGGUGCCUUCGGGAACUCAGACACAGGUGCUGCAUAGCUGUCGUCAGCUCGUGUCGUGAGAUGUUGGGUUAAGUCCCGUAACGAGCGCAACCCUUGUCCUUAGUUACCAGCACCUCGGGUGGGCACUCUAAGGAGACUGCCGGUGACAAACCGGAGGAAGGUGGGGAUGACGUCAAGUCAUCGUGGCCCUUACGGCCAGGGCUACACACGUGCUACAAUGGUCGGUACAAAGGGUUGCCAAGCCGCGAGGUGGAGCUAAUCCCAUAAAACCGAUCGUAGUCCGGAUCGCAGUCUGCAACUCGACUGCGUGAAGUCGGAAUCGCUAGUAAUCGUGAAUCAGAAUGUCACGGUGAAUACGUUCCCGGGCCUUGUACACACCGCCCGUCACACCAUGGGAGUGGGUUGCUCCAGAAGUAGCUAGUCUAACCGCAAGGGGGACGGUUACCACGGAGUGACUCAUGACUGGGGUGAAGUCGAAACAAGGUA
rnacentral:rRNA from 1 species